GCUCCUGCCCUUGGCCAUAGAGCUUGGGGGAGCUGCAUCCGAUCAGCUCCCAGGUGAGGCUUCUCGAGGCAUCUAAUUGGGAGCAGCUGGCUGGUUCUUACACCAUGGGGUGAACCAAGAACGUUUCUUUUCGAUUUAUUCCUUGCUUGUCCUUAGCUAUCAGAAAUCUUGUGGUUCCCAUAGCAUUUUCCAAACCACCCCAGGUCGUACAUCUCCCCCUUACAGAGGGGCUGCUCGGGGGGAGCUCUCCUCUGGGCUGUGGGCUCCUUCUGCCCCCCGGGGGGUCCCCUCGCAUCCCCACGUCCCUGCAGUGUCCCCAAGUCUGCUCGGGGGGGAUCCGAGGGCUGUGCUGGGGGGCCCGGCCAGGCUCCUGAUGGCUGGGAUGAAGCCGGCUCGCCUCGGGGGGGGCUCAGAGCGGCUCGGAGAGGGGGGGGCGGCAGCAGGGACCGCUCCUCCUCCACGGCCCGGGAGGGAUCGACGACGGCAGCGAGGCGAAGGGAAAGCGAAAGGCGAAGGGAAAGCGAAAGCGCAGCGCAGGGCACUGCGGAGCGGGACCCACGGGCACCACCCGCAGCGCCCCGAGCAUCCCCGCCGGGGGGGCGCAGCUCUCGACACAGGGUUUAUACCCAGAAGAUACAGGGGAUGGGUCCGGCCGGGAUGAAGAGGCUGACUGCAGGGGCCAGCAGCUGCUCCGCAUCCACAGUGACAAAAAGACCCUGCAGGGACAGGGGACACGGGGACAGCGGGCGGCCACAGCAAGUCCUCUGGAUUGCCCCAUGCUUGGCCCAGGAGAGGUUCCCCUCUGCGGGGUGCUUUUUGUUUGGGACAGGUGAAGGCUGAGAUCUUCCUUUGGGCAUUGCCCAUGCGUCCUGCAGCCAAACCGCUGCCCUCUGCAUAAAGGUGCUGGGAGCCCACCCGGGGGGUGCCUGGAGGUCCCCCCCUGACACAUGAAUUCCUCGUGGUCAAACCAAGCACGUCGGCACCCAGCUGUGCUCUCGUACUGAAGAAAGCCUUUUCCCACCUUACAUCUCCUCACCGUCAGAGGUUUUGUCCAGGCUCACCUGUCAUUACCUGCUUUUUCUUCCCUGGAGUUCCUACUCUGACCCACCAAGACCGUGACCAGAACACCUUUGGAUUUCCUCUCUGUGCACCAGGAACAAAGUCCUGGCUGGCUGUGAGGCCCCCGUGCUGUACAAGCGCAGAAAACAGGUCCCAUCGGGGCAGGGGGACCUCAGGCCAGCAGCUGGGGGUGGUGAUGUGUUCAAACCCCAGGCUACUUCUCACCCCUCCUCCUGAAUCUCCAGCAGCACACCCAGGGGAGCAGAGGACCAUCGGAGCGGGUGCCUGAGGCUGCUGGACCCAGGCGGGUGUUUGAACACCUCCGGGUGCUGUGGGGACCCCAGAGGGGGGUGGUUUGAGGACUCGCUGUGGUAUCUGGCUUGAGAAAAUGGCAAUAGCUGUCCGUGAGGGUGUCAGCUCUCACCCUUUCUCCUUGACAUCCGGGAAAUUGCUUUUGAACUGUUUUAGAUCCUAUAUUGCUAGUGGAACAAAUUGCAUACAGUAUUCUAAUAAUCAGCUGUGUUGGAUUUGUUGGACUUUUUGAGGGAGGAAAGAGAUCUGCACCGCAGCCAGCCUUACCUCCAGCAAGGCAGUGGGUCCUCAGUUAACUGCCCUACUCCAUAUAAAGUUAAAAUCAGAUUUGUCAUCUUGAAAUACAUCACUAUACAAGAGUCAGAUAAUAUUUAGAAAAGAUUUAGUAAGCAAUGUCUGCUGCACUGAAAAUUAAAUUAAGGGUGCAAAAUGGGAAUUUAAAGAAAAUGGGUUUUGAAUUUAAUAAAGUCUUUGAAGAUACCUACUUGGCAGGACGCAUUUCUCCUCUAUACAUCUAACUGAUUUGUUUGUGUAUGUCAUUCUGCUCCCUUCAAUGUGUGAACGUCAAGCUGGAAUGGAGCGAAGUCCAAAUUUAAGAUAUGAAACUGGAUGAGAUUAUAUUUCGUACUGCAUAAAAUGCACCUCUGGAAUUUUCAGUUCUUCUUUUCUGCAGCAUUACAAGCUCUUUAUAAAGUGCCAGGGCUGAUGAGCUAAAAAAAAAAAAAGAAAAAAAGAAAAAAAAAAGAAAGAAAGAAAAAAAAAACAACUUGUGGCUUUGGAUAUAUUCAUUUCAAGUUUGUGGUUAAUCUUUCCCAAGCUGCUUAGAGGUGAACGCCAGUUCAGUCAUCACACUGCUUCUGCAGCAAGCUUUGCUGCUGUUUCUAAAUGUCUCUGAUAAAAGGCUGUGAAAAAUGGACCUGCGGUAAAUUGCAUCAUCCUCGCUACGGGUUUUGAGAUGGGGACAGGGCGCACAGGCUGUGCGGUGUCUGAGGGAUGCCAACUCUGCUCUUGUGCUCCCCCUUACCCAUCCCAACCGCCACUGAAAUCCCAGCGGCAUUGGGCUGGCACGGUGCAGAGCCCAGCAAAUCCCGCUGUGGAAUAAUUGCAAAAUCCCGUUUCCAGCCAGCCUGUUCACUUCCUUUACACCAGAAAUCUUGCCUUAGCUAGGGGCUGUGGGCACGCCAGAUUUCUCUGCUCAGCUCCCAGGGGUUUCAGCGUUAACCAAUGUGGCACCGGUUUCUUUAAAACCUUCUUCGAAAAAUAAAUACAACUUCUUUCUUCUCGAA